CCCUUAGAUGUCCUGGGCCGCACGCGCGCUACACUGACGAAUGCAACGAGCUUAUAACCUUGGCCGAAAGGUCUGGGUAAUCUCCAAAUUUCGUCGUGAUGGGGAUAGAUUAUUGCAAUUAUUAAUCUUCAACGAGGAAUGCCUAGUAAGCGCAAGUCAUCAGCUUGCGUUGAUUACGUCCCUGCCCUUUGUACACACCGCCCGUCGCUCCUACCGAUUGAAUGGUCCGGUGAAGCGCUCGGACCGCGGCCUCUUGACGGGUCUCCGUCGAUUGGCUGUGGGAAGUUCGUUAAACCUUAUCAUUUAGAGGAAGGAGAAGUCGUAACA
rnacentral:rRNA from 1 species